GGGCUCCGGUUAUGACGGCUGGAAAAACAGUUCACGCUUUAAAGUGGGGAAUUAUCGCCAUUGAGCAGAGCUGGCAUAAAAGAUGUAAUGGUCAAUGCAACGCACAGGGAAACGCAGUCGGAACAGUUGUGGGGCGGUACCAUCCCGUUCUGACAUUAAACGACCCAGAAGAGGAGAAGUCAACUUCCUGCCAAAUUAUCCCUCAGGAUAAAGCAGGGAUAGUCUGGAAGCUCAGAGGAUGGAACUAAUUUGUGAGUCCCAAAAGGUUCCUGCUGAACAGGGUGCAGCACUCAUCUACUUGAUAAUGCACCGCACCUUUGCACUGAGACAUGAGGAUAUCAUCCACUCUAGACUGCCCAUAGAUGAGGUCAAAACUCGAUGGUCUGCCCUCGUUAGUGAGGCCCAACUAUACAAGGAGUUUCAUCGCAUCACCAACCAGAACCUGUCAUUCUCGUUUUUUGGGUCGCUGGAUAAGCACACAUCACAGCUGUUCAAGCUGUUCAAGCAGAAACGGUCUGGCGGUUCUAGGGCAAAAAAUGGCUGAUCUUCUGUCUGACUACAGUAUGCAGGAUAAAAAUGAUAUUCAGGCAGCAAGAACAGCAGUACUAUUCAGUUUGUCACUCUACCUGCGGGAAGA